GACGUAGGGCGCGAGCGUUGUCCGGAUUUAUUGGGCGUAAAGAGCUCGUAGGCGGCUUGUUGCGUCAGCUGUGAAAACCCGCAGCUCAACUGUGGGCUUGCAGCUGAUACGGGCAGGCUUGAGUUCGGUAGGGGAGACUGGAAUUCCUGGUGUAGCGGUGAAAUGCGCAGAUAUCAGGAGGAACGCCAAUAGCGAAGGCAGCUCGCUGGGACGGUACUGACGCUAAGGCGCGAAAGCGUGGGGAUCAAACAGG
rnacentral:rRNA from 1 species